rnacentral:rRNA from 1 species
UAAACUAGGAUUAGAUACCCUAUUAUUUAGAGCUUUACAUUGUAAGUAAAUAAAUAAUUACGAAAGCAAAAAAUUAUGGCGGUAUUUUAAGCUUCUCAGAGGAAUUUGCUCUUUAAUGGAUAAAACACCUAAAUCUUACUUAAAUUUGUUAAGUCAAUUUGUAUACCACUAUUAAAUUAAUUAAUAAUUUUAAUUUAUAAAAUUUAUAUAAAUUUAAAAAAAAUUAAGUCAAGGUGCAGUAAAAGUUUAAGAAUGAAGUGAAUUACAAUUCUUUUAAGAGAUUAUUUAAAUUAAAAUUUUAAUUUAGGAUU